rnacentral:lncRNA from 1 species
CCCCAGAUGAAUCACUGAUGUCUAAGCAUGAACCUUUGUGUAUCUCAUAGGGGAAAAAUCUGGAAGACUCUAUAAAUCACUGGGUGGGCUGGGUGGCUCAAUGGAUUAAGAGCUAGGCCCCGAGAGAGGAGGUCCUGGAUUCAAAUUUGUUUUCAGGCACUUCUGAGCUCUGUGACCCUGGCCGAGCCACUUAACUCUAAUUGCUUAGCCCUUACUGCUCUUCUGCUUUGGAAUCAAUACUUAGUGUCUACUCUAAGACAUUGGGACGGGUUUAAAAAAAAGAAUUGAUGUCACUGCCUCAAGCUGGGGCUGCCAGAUGAGUCUUCCCAGUUGAACUAUAUCCUUUGUGUCUCAGAAAUGCACCUGCUUGCAUUCAUCCCUAGUCUCUGAGUGUUUCAUAGCCUUAGAUCUAAUCCCUGUCUAAAAGAAAACUCCAAGCCUCCACUCAGGAGGAAAAAAGGAGCAGGCACAGCUGUUAGGGGUUUAGUCCCUCCCAGCACCACACCAGAAGGUUCAAAGAGGGCCAGGGAAUAAUUUAAGGUAAAUAGGGACUUCCAAAGAAGGAAAAGAGGUGGACAGGAAACGUGGAGUGGCAGGCAGAGACAUAACAAGAUAGAGUAAAAAUAUGCAUAUGCCCACAGUCUCUAGCUUAAAAGAAGACAAUGGGUCAGCACCAACAUGGUGUGACAGGCUGGUCCAUAAUACUGUAGUGACUGAACUGUGUGUUAUAGAAGAAAGAAGAGAAGACAUCCACAGGAGGCCUCUGCACCCCAGCUGGAAGGAGUCUGUGCAACUGAGUUCCCAUCUGGCAACAGUCCUGAGAAGCCCCAGAAACCCCAAAGUAAAGUGCCAGAUGUCAUUUUCUGGAUUCUAGAAGCUUUUUCUCAGUUGCUAAGAAGAAGUGUCCUUUCCCCACAUCCAUUUGAAUUCUGAGCAGCAGGGAGCUGAUGUAAGAAGCACAGGGAUCUAACAAAGUCAACAGGGCUGACAUCAUACUAGCUGUGUGUUGCUGAUGGGAAUUCAGAAUAUCAAACAUAAUAUCAAGGGCAGCGUGUGACUCAUUUCCCUAGAGAAGGAGAGAGAGAGAGGAAGCAAGAGAAAGGAUUAUCUCACACAGGGUUGUAAGACAGAGAGAUUUAACUGGUUUAUUUAAAUCCAAUAAAACAUUUGUUUAUUUCUUUCCUUUUUCUCA